GGUUGGGUCCCAUGCGACGGACGUCGUCAAAACCCCGCCAGGGCCGGAAGGCAGCAACGGUAUGAGGAUUUGUCUGGGCGCGCGGGUACUCCGGUCCAU
rnacentral:SRP_RNA from 1 species